UGCUAUAAUGGGAGCCAUCCAUAGACAAUUAGCAUGACCCUGAGCAAGCAAAGAUGACACACAAAUUCAUGAGGCAUUCCGUGCUU
rnacentral:snRNA from 1 species